rnacentral:rRNA from 1 species
AUUGAACGCUGGCGGCAGGCCUAACACAUGCAAGUCGAGCGAGUGGCGGACGGGUGAGUAAUGUCUGGGACACUGCCUGAUGGAGGGGGAUAACUACUGGAAACGGUAGCUAAUCCCGCAUACCAUCAGAUGUGCCCAGAUGGGAUUAGCUUGUAGGUGGGGUAACGGCUCACCUAGGCGACGAUCCCUAGCUGGUCUGAGAGGAUGACCAGCCACACUGGAACUGAGACACGGUCCAGACUCCUACGGGAGGCAGCAGUGGGGAAUAUUGCACAAUGGGCGCAAGCCUGAUGCAGCCAUGCCGCGUGUAUGAAGAAGGCCUUAGGGUUGUAAAGCACUUUCAGCGGGGAGGCGUUACCCGCAGAAGAAGCACCGGCUAACUCCGUGCCAGCAGCCGCGGUAAUAC